rnacentral:lncRNA from 1 species
GAUGUUGAGCCUGUCGUAGUAGAUGCCAAUCUUGUCGUUAGGGUUUCGGGAGGAGAUGGUGACCUGGAAGCUGGAGGAGAAGACGUUGGAGGCGGAGGUGUUGAAGUUGAAGACGGUGACGUCUUGGAGGACGAAGCGGGGCUUGGAGGGCUGGAGGAUGGCCCACACGAUGAGGAUUGUGACAAGGAGGAUGAAGUUGAAGAUUAGGAGGCCAGCGCAACAGCGGCGGAACAUCCUCCGCCGCUUGUUUUGGCGAUGCAGUCCACAAUCCUUCGUUGACAUGGCGGUUGGUGUGGCAGAGAAAGUAGAGAAGAUGGUUGAGUUGAGUUUGUAGUCUCUGUCUCUC